UCCCUCUCAGGCUCACACCUGGAGAGUUUCCAGCACCCUGCCAGUCUUGGCUACGGAGGGAGAGUCAAGCAGAGGCCUAUCUGUUCCAUUCCUAGCUUGGGCAGUGGCUAGCGAGUGGAAGGCAAUCUGCUACAAGU